UUUAAGAAAAAUAAUUAAAGGACAACGAAAGAAAUCAGUAACUUUACCUUCUUGGAGAUUUCUGUAGAAGCUUCUUCAAAAUCAACAAUCGGAUGUUCAUGUUGGAUAAAGAACCCGACUACAUAAGAUGGCAUUAGAGGUAGGAUAAACAGAAUCACAGGAAAUCUAAAAAUUUCGUGUGUGAAUCAGAGAAAAACACCAAAUCUAAAACCUAAGGAACAGUUCACCUCCAAUUAAGAACUUCAGCCAUGGAGACCGUUUAUGUAACGUACAAUAAAUCAAAACACAAGGGGUACUGAUUUAUUCAAAAUGAAGAGAAGCUUGAGUGCCAAGCUUUAUUCAGAGAAACCAUUGUUGAGAAAUAGUUGGAAGGAAUGUAACCAGAGAACUGGUUGCCUGAUGAAUAAAUAGAUUUCAGACCGGUUAAUCUCAGGAUUUGUGGUUGCUGGCUCUGUCUCUGAGGAAAAGGAAUAGGAAACAUGUGGUUGGUGGUUCAUGAUGAUAAACUAAAUCGAGAACUCUAAAUGUACAGGGGUUUGCUCAUGCUUAUAAGGUGAUAAGGGCUGAGGUAAGUUGACUGCAUUAUCAGUUUUCCGUAACGGUUGUGAGUUACACGUUUGGUUUUAUUGUUCUGAGUUAAUCAAAUUGUUGUUAUGACUUCUGACUCUCCUUCUUUCUGUUGUUUGAUGCGCACAGCUCUAUAUUCUUGUGUGUAUGGGUUUAACUUCAGCCGGUCUGAUAUUUUGAAAUGGUAAUUAAAAGACUUGCUUAUGAUAAACAAAUCAAAUAGAGACGCCAUUAUGAUUGAUGCAUUCGAUGUUUUUUUUUUUUAAUCACAAUAUUUUUCUGAUAUAGCAGUGCUUACUCUACUAAUUCUUUCCUUACUCUACUCAGGUUUCUCCUAUUACUGCAACCAUGCCCGUCUUAUUAUUUAUAUGAACCUUGGGCAAAUUUUAGUUCUAUGAGGACAAACAAAAAAGUUUUGCAAAAUGAAUCUUAAACUAUUGAAAUCUUUAAUUGUUAUAAGAUAUUUUUCAAAACUUUUUGGAUCUAAUGCAAAUGUUCCUUUUGCAUAUGCCUAGAGAAGAAACUGGAACUUAAAAUUGACCAACUAUGAGAUUUAUAUUCGAGUCUUUG